rnacentral:rRNA from 1 species
UGGGGAAUAUUGGACAAUGGGCGCAAGCCUGAUCCAGCCAUGCCGCGUGAGUGAUGAAGGCCUUAGGGUUGUAAAGCUCUUUUGUCCGGGACGAUAAUGACGGUACCGGAAGAAUAAGCCCCGGCUAACUUCGUGCCAGCAGCCGCGGUAAUACGAAGGGGGCUAGCGUUGCUCGGAAUCACUGGGCGUAAAGGGCGCGUAGGCGGCCAUUUAAGUCGGGGGUGAAAGCCUGUGGCUCAACCACAGAAUUGCCUUCGAUACUGGAUGGCUUGAGUUCGGUAGAGGUUGGUGGAACUGCGAGUGUAGAGGUGAAAUUCGUAGAUAUUCGCAAGAACACCGGUGGCGAAGGCGGCCAACUGGACCGACACUGACGCUGAGGCGCGAAAGCGUGGGGAGCAAACA